AUUUUCAGAGAAACCCAAAAAGUGAAGUUGCUCUCCAGGAGAAGUGGUUUGUUAGGAAGACAUUGUUGGACCGCCCCGACACAAAAGAACACGCAUCGUGUUUUUAAAUAGAGACGUUAAAGUGUUAAACUUCAGUAAAAAUCUUCCUAACGUGCUUUUGCAGGUUGUGGGUAUCUUCGCUGGUUUCGGCCUCCUUCUGCUCGUCGCCUCCCCCUUCCUCCUCCUGGCCACGCCCAUCGUCCUCUGCUGCAAGUGCAAGUGCAGUAAAGGCGACGACGACCCGCUGCCAACCUAAGCAGCGGCGCCGGCCUUCACGGGUUUACAGCCGCGCCACGGACGAGCCAUGUUCAUCAUCUCCUUCCUCAUCUUCCUCUGUCCGGUUCUUUUCCCCCUCUGUUCCCAUCCUCCUCCAGCUUUAAGUGGCCUCCACGUUUUCAGGCCACGCCCACCGCUUUCGGGAUCCAUUCACUCUGCACGAGGAGGACAUGAGAGACAAUCCGGAUGUAAAGAAGGUGGGCAGAGUGAAGUAAAAACUGUGAGAUGACUUCUAAAAGAGGGCUUCGUCACAGAUGCUGUCCUCUCAGCAGAGUGACCAGAUGGAGCCUGAUGUGCAAGGCACAUGAAGGUGGCCCCCGUGGGACCUCACAACCCUCCCCUUUUCACCCCCGAACUGGGGCUCUAGCUGGGCAAACGGACCGGCUCCUCGCCUCUCGCCUGCUGUGAAGUGCGCCUCUCUUCCUCUCCCGUCCGCCCCAUCCCUCCUGCGGCGGACGUUGCCCAAAUGCCAACACGUCCCACCUGGGCUUAGCCAUGCCUAUCCCGUCUGUCGGGGGGGAGGGAGCUGGCGUGACACGCAAUGCCGAGAGCACUCACCCCUGACAUGAACACAAUGGUCCAAGGACUAUCUCGCUGGCUGGCUGGGCGAGGUAUAGAUAAUACUGUUAAUCGCACAGAGUGGCAAACAGCUUUGCAGAACAAUGAACAGGCGGCAGAGCGGUGACUGGAAAAUGUCCCUCAACUCUUCUUCACACACACACAAAGACCCACAACUCCAAAGAUAUGUUGGAGAGAGCGCACGAGCAUACAGACACAUACGACAAGUACAUGUGCGAUAAGUACAAACCCUUAAUUUCGUGUUGUGGGACAGGAUCUGAAACCCGAAAAUGAUUCUUUUAGGCCAUAACUGUGUAAAGAUAUGACAUGUGUUUCAAAUAUCUAUGGAAAUGCAUGACCUUUUUAGAUGGUAACACUUUUACAGACUCAGAGGGGGAAAAAAAACAGUAGAGAUUUCCGUUUAAGGAAAACCAGGGUUUGAUUCCCAAGGGGUGCUAUAAGGUUAUUCCUGUGUGGGCUUGGACAAGACCCCUCACGACCAAGUCUGGGGCUCCCAGUGCCGGUCCCCAGCCUGUCUGUCAAACCAAAUGUUCUAAUCGGGGAAAGCUGAUAUGCCGCAAGGUGGACGACAACAUGUAGAGCGUUCCAUUUAUUCUUUUGCCAAAACCAAAAUGUGGCACCUGCGCAUCAUUUAUUAAGAUAAGAUCGUGGUCUUGUUGCUAAGCAGAUUUUCAGAGUGCAAUUUUGCAAGUUUCUCUUUUUUUUGUGGCGCAUUUUAUGUUUUGUCCGAAUUGGCUAUAGCCUAUUGUCAAUCAAUCUCCAUGCCAUGUCUCAUGAAUGCCGAAUGCCCUCAGGUUGCCAAAUCUACAUCAAUCUUUGAAUGCGAUCAGAUCUUUGCAGCCUUAAAAAACAUAUAAUCCUACUUUGCGGAUUUCACUUAUCACGGGUUGAUCAACGAAGAAACAAA
ensembl:lncRNA